AUUGAACGCUGGCGGCAGGCCUAACACAUGCAAGUCGAACGAGUGGCGGACGGGUGAGUAAUGUCUGGGAAACUGCCUGAUGGAGGGGGAUAACCACUGGAAACGGUAGCUAAUACUGCAUACCAUCAGAUGUGCCCAGAUGGGAUUAGCUAGUUGGUGGGGUAACGGCUCACCAAGGCGACGAUCCCUAGCUGGUCUGAGAGGAUGACCAGCCACACUGGAACUGAGACACGGUCCGGACACCUACGGGAGGCAGCAGUGGGGAAUAUUGGACGAUGGGCGAAAGCCUGAUACAGCCAUGACGCGUGUGUGAAGAAGAUAUUCGAAUUAUAAAGCACUUUAAGUUGGGAGGCGUUACCGACAGAAUAAGCACCGGCUAAAUUCGUGCCAGCAGCCGCGGUGAUAC
rnacentral:rRNA from 1 species